rnacentral:rRNA from 1 species
CCUACGGGGGUCUGCAGUGAGGAAUAUUGGUCAAUGGGCGAGAGCCUGAACCAGCCAAGUCGCGUGAGGGAGUACUGCCCUAUGGGUUGUAAACCUCUUUUGUCGGGGAGCAAAAGCCGGACGUGUCCGGCUGUUAGAGUACCCGAAGAAAAAGCAUCGGCUAACUCCGUGCCAGCAGCCGCGGUAAUACGGAGGAUGCGAGAGUUACCCGGAUUUAUUGGGUUUAAAGGGUGCGCAGGCGGAUUUUUAAGUCAGCGGUCAAAUCGUGGGGCUCAACCCCCUCCAGCCGUUGAAACUGGGGAUCUAGAGUGUGCGAGAGGUAUGCGGAAUGCGUGGUGUAGCGGUGAAAUGCAUAGAUAUCACGCAGAACCCCGAUUGCGAAGGCAGCAUACCGGUGCACAACUGACGCUCAGGCACGAAAGCGUGGGUAUCGAACAGGAUUAGAUACCCCGGUAGUC